ensembl:lncRNA
GAAAUCAAUAAAUCCCUUGAAAAUCAAGAAAAACAAAGAUGUAAAGGAAAGAGUUCAAGACUUGAAAAUUGAAAUAAAGGCAAUAAAGAAAACACAAACUGAGGGAAUUCUUAAGGUGGAAAAUCUGGGUAAAUGAACUGGAGCUACAGAAGCAAGUGUCACAAACAGAAUACAAGAGAAGGAAGAGUUGUGCUGGGGUUUUGAUGGGGAUUGCAUUGAAUCUGUAGAUUGCUUUUGGCAAGAUUGCAUUUUUACUAUGUUGAUCAUGGAAGAUCUUUCCAUUUUCUGACAUCUUCUUUAAUUUCUUUCUUAAAAGACUCAAAGUUCUUGUCAUACAGGUCUUUUGCUUGUUUGGUCAGAGUUACCCCAAGAUAUUUUAUGUUGUUUGUGGCUAUUGUAAAUCAUGAUGGUUCUCUGAUUUCUUUCUCAGCCCAUUUAUUGUCUGUAUAUAAUAAAGCUACUAAUUUUUUAGUUAAACUUGUAUCCUGCCACUUUGCUGAAGGUAUUUAUCAGCUGUAGGAGUUUCCUGGUGGAAUUUUCAGGUCACUUAUAUAAACUAUCAUAUCAUCAGUGGUCACUUCUGAAAACCUAAGCCACGCCCUAAGGUGUGGACAACACCCCAAGUCCAUGGGCAGAACAAGAUGCCACUACAAGUCUGUUUUCUCAUAUACUGGGUCUCAGCUCCUGGAAUUUUCAGGAAUUCCUAGCAUCAGUCCACACCUUGUAUUCUCCAUCUGCUCUGUUCAAGGAAUGAACUGUAGUGAAGACCAAGGGUGUCCACACCCAACUAUGAGCACUGAGUUCCUUAGGCCCAGACUCAGUCCUGGGAGAGAUUUGCCUGUGAGAGUUUGCAUUGAAACAUCAACAGGCCCUGCACCCCCAGAUGACUUCUGAGUUGCGGAGACAUCCUGAUGGGCAAAUUCAUGGCUGUGAGGUAGACUCCCACUUAGACCAGAGUUCUCUUGCCCUAUCUUGGCUCCUCGCCAAGAUAUAGCAGGGAGGUAAGAGAUGUAUUCAUGGCAUCUUCCAGCUGCCAGAAGUUUGCAGAUAGUUUGCCUCCUUGCCCAGUAGAUGGACAAAAACUGUAAGAUCUAUACAGGGUGGUUUCUUCUUCAUGUUAUGAGGAAAUAAAACUAGGAGCCCCCGAAGAAGAGGAACUGCUCUUCUCAGGCUCCUGACUCUUGAUUUCCAAGUGCUGUGAUGUGUUGGGCUACAGAAUAUGUGGCAUCUGUCUCUGUGGUUCUUUGGUUUGGGGUUUUCCUUGCUGAGAUAGAAAAUCUUGAAUCACUUGUAGGUCUCAGGCUAUUCAUUCUUCUCCCUCAGUUUCCUACGUGCUGGGAUUUCAAGCCCAAUUAUGAUUGUUGUCUCUUCCUGCAGAAAAUCUCCAUUGUAAUUCUACAUCUUCCUGAAUGCUCCACCUCAGACCAAGACUAACACUAAAUAAACCUGGUGACUUCAUGAGCCAGGACUUUCAAUUGAGGGGCUCAGAGAUGAGCCCUCAUCCAGUGGCUGAUGGAAGCAGAGACAGACAUCCACAGAUAUACAUUGAGCUGAAAUCUGGAAUUUAGUUGAAGAGAGGGAGGAAUGAAGACUGAAGGGGUCUGUACCAGGUUGGAGAAACCCACAGGAGCAGUUGACCUGAACAAGGGAGAGCACAUCGACCCCAGAUGCUGUCCGGGAGGCCAGUACAAGACUGAUCCAGACCCCUGAACAUGGAUGUCAAUAAGGAG